AUAUACGACCGUACCGCAAACCGACACUGGUGCGCGAGAUGAGUAUUCUAAGGCGCUUGAGAGAACUCAGGAGAAGGAACUCGGCAAAUUGACACCGUAACUUCGGAAGAAGGUGUGCCCUAUUAGUGUGUAGUGAACAACGAAGCAUGAAUGGGUUGCAAAAAAUCGGUGGCUGCGACUGUUUAUUAAAAACACAGCACUCUGCAAACACGAAAGUGGACGUAUAGGGUGUGACGCCUGCCCGGUGCUGGAAGAUUAAAUAAUGGGGUGCAAGCUCUUGAUUGAAGUCCCAGUAAACGGCGGCCGUAACUAUAACGGUCCUAAGGUAGCGAAAUUCCUUGUCGGGUAAGUUCCGACCUGCACGAAUGGCGUAACGAUGGCCACACUGUCUCCUCCUGAGACUCAGCGAAGUUGAAAUGUUUGUGAUGAUGCAAUCUCCCCGCGGAAAGACGGAAAGACCCCAUGAACCUUUACUGUAGCUUUGUAUUGGACUUUGAACAGAUCUGUGUAGGAUAGGUGGGAGGCUUUGAAGCAGGGUCGCUAGAUCUUGUGGAGCCAACGUUGAAAUACCACCCUGGUGUGUUUGAGGUUCUAACCUAGGUCCAUUAUCUGGAUCGGGGACAGUGCAUGGUAGGCAGUUUGACUGGGGCGGUCUCCUCCCAAAGCGUAGCGGAGGAGUUCGAAGGUACGCUAGUUACGGUCGGACAUCGUGACGAUAGUGCAAUGGCAUAAGCGUGCUUAACUGCGAGACUGACAAGUCGAGCAGAUGCGAAAGCAGGACAUAGUGAUCCGGUGGUUCUGUAUGGAAGGGCCAUCGCUCAACGGAUAAAAGGUACUCUGGGGAUAACAGGCUGAUACCGCCCAAGAGUUCAUAUCGACGGCGGUGUUUGGCACCUCGAUGUCGGCUCAUCUCAUCCUGGGGCUGUAGCCGGUCCCAAGGGUAUGGCUGUUCGCCAUUUAAAGAGGUACGUGAGCUGGGUUUAAAACGUCGUGAGACAGUUUGGUCCCUAUCUUCCGUGGGCGCUGCAGAUUUGAGGAAGCCUGCUCCUAGUACGAGAGGACCGGAGUGGACACACCUCUGGUGUAUCGGUUGUCACGCCAGUGGCAUUGCCGAGUAGCUAAGUGUGGAAGAGAUAACCGCUGAAAGCAUCUAAGCGGGAAACUCGUUUCAAGAUGAGAUCUGCCGGGGCCUUGAGCCCCCUAAAGAGUCGUUCAAGACCAGGACGUUGAUAGGUCAGGUGUGGAAGUGAAA
rnacentral:rRNA from 1 species